CGGGCGAGCGGGGCGACGGUGGUGCCCAUCGGAGCUGACCCCACUGCCAGCAGCGGAGCCCUCUGCACCCCAGAGCGCAGGAGGGGCAAAGAGGAAGCACAAGAAGAAAGGCCUGGUGCAGAGCCCCAGUUUCUGCUUCAUGGAUAUGAAUUGCCCAGGAUGCUAUAAAAUCUUUAGCCAUGCACAGUUGUUUUGUCUGUUGUCUGCUCUACUGUUCUCUGCCAGCCUACAGGAGGAAAGGUCUGGUCAAGCCCCAGCACUCAGAUCGAAGAAACAGAAGUAUUUCUUAGGGCCCAAAAGACGAGGUGGCCGAGUGGUUAAGGCGAUGGACUGCUAAUCCAUUGUGCUCUGCACGCGUGGGUUCGAAUCCCAUCCUCGUCGGUUUGAGAUUGCUGUGGCAAGUUCUUCGUUUUGUAAUUCCCCAUCUAAGGAUUUUUCUUGCAGCUUUGUAUGUACCAGAUUGCUGUUUCACUGUCAUCACUGUACUCUCUUUACUGGAGUAUGCCUUUCAUCUCUCGACUAUAUUUUUCCAAUAAGGUCGAGUGUUAUAGAGGGCUCUCAAAUAUUCACCCACCUGCCGGGGAGCCAACCUGACCAAGGAAACACGACAGAAGGUGCCUUCGUGUGGGCGCCGUGGCUUAGUUGGUUAAAGCGCCUGUCUAGUAAACAGGAGAUCCUGGGUUCGAAUCCCAGCGGUGCCUCCCGAAGUUUGUAUGCUUUUGCAGGCAAGAGAUCCUGUGAGGAUUGAAUCGCCUCGUGACGUCCUUGUAGUUUCCCACGUAUCCAUCUAUCCUCUCUCGGGAAUCAACCGUGUACCUGGUCUGGUGUUUUGACUUUCUGGUCGGGCACGAAAUUGACGGUGAUUGUCAUUUUCCGUACAUCCUGUUCCUCGUGUGCACGGUAUUUGUAUCUCGACCAGAUUCCUGCGAUUUAUCAUCUGCUUAUUAGUAUUAUUGUGGCUUGGCUGUUAACUUGUGUAAGUGCUAAGCGUG